AAGAGAGUCCGGAAGAAGAACAAGCAUCCAGGAGAGGGGAGAGGAGGGGAGGGAGGCCGCAAACAUCUGCCCCCAGAGAUGGGGAGCCCUGCCCUGGUCUCAGAUGCUCAGAAACUGGAUCUUACUCGGGCUUGGAAGGUCUGAAAUGAUACUUCAUCCUUUGGUUUUUUCAUUUCAAUUGAUACAAGACCAGGGUAAGAUGCUACCCCAUGGACGUUUAUCUCUAGAAAAUGUGAUUGCUUCCAACGAAAUGACUAUCCCAAACUCUCUGCCCCUGGACAUACGUUGCCAAACUGAAAUUUGAAUUUUCUGAAUAAAUUGGUGAUGUCUGGAA